rnacentral:hammerhead_ribozyme from 1 species
GCACUGGUGAAGAGUCCCACAAUAGGACGAAACGGUCGUCCAGUGC